AUUCAGGACUAUAUUUAGUCAGGUUAUCUGGUAUUCAGGACUAUAUUUAGUCAGGUUAUCACUGGAACAGCCAUGUUUAAACCAACAGGACUAUAUUUAGUCAGGUUAUCUGGUAUUCAGGGCUAUAUUUAGUCAGGUUAUCUGGUAUUCAGGACUAUAUUUAGUCAGGUUAUCACUGGAACAGCCAUGUUUAAACCAACAGGACUAUAUUUAGUCAGGUUAUCUGGUAUUCAGGGCUAUAUUUAGUCAGGUUAUCACUGGAACAGCCAUGUUUAAACCAACAGGGCUAUAUUUAGUCAGGUCAUCUGGUAUUCAGGGCUAUAUUUAGUCAGGUCAUCUGGUAUUCAGGGCUAUAUUUAGUCAGGUUAUCACUGGAACAGCCAUGUUUAAACCAACAGGACUAUAUUUAGUCAGGUUAUCACUGGAACAGCCAUGUUUAAACCAACAGGACUAUAUUCAGUCAGGUUAUCUGGUAUUCAGGGCUAUAUUUAGUCAGGUUAUCACUGGAACAGCCAUGUUUAAACCAACAGGACUAUAUUUAGUCAGGUUAUCACUGGAACAGCCAUGUUUAAACCAACAGGACUAUAUUCAGUCAGGUUAUCUGGUAUUCAGGACUAUAU